AACCCACUGAGGGAGGCUAGGGAUUGAACCUGCAUCCUCAUGGAUGCUAGUCAGAUUCACUUCUGCUGAGCCACGACAGGAACUCCUGGUGGGGGGAAUGUUAACUGGUGCAACCACUACGGAAAACAGUAUGGAGGUACGGCAGGAAACUAAAUAUAGAACGACCAUGUGAUACAGCAAUCCCACUGCUGGGUAUACAUCCAGACAACACUUUCGUUGAAAGAUAUACACAGGCACCCUAUGUUCAUAGCAGCGCUAUUCACAACAGCCAAGACAUGGAAGCAUCCAAGGUGUCCAUCCAGAGACAAAUGGAUUAAGAAGACGUGGUACAUACUUAUACCAUGGAAUAUGACUCAGCCAUAAAAAAAGACAAACUAAUGCCACGGGCAGCAACAUGCAUGGAACUAGAGACUCUCGUCCUAAGUGAAGUAAGCCAGAAAGCAAAAGACGAAUAGCAUAUAUCACUUACUUGUGGAAUCUAAAAUAUGGAACAGCCGAUCCUAUCGAACACAAACAAACGAGAGAGAGAGAGGUCAUGGCCAAGGAGAGCAGACUUGGGGUUCUCAAGGGGGCGAGGGGAGGGAGUGGUGUGGAUGGGCAUUUGGGGGUGUUUUGGCUGCAAACGGUUAUGUCGGGGAUGGAUGGGCAGUGGGACCCUCCUGUACAGCUCAGGGAAAUGUGUGUGAUUGGGUCACUCUGCGAUGCAAAAGAACUUGAGAAAACACUGUAAAUUAAUUUUUAAAAUUCGUGAAAAAAAAGGUACUGGGUGUGUUCGGUGAGUGUGCACCCCAAGGGAAGGACCCAUUGAGUCUGGAAACAAUAAUGGCACAUCGCAGCGCAACUCGGAGGCCAUGCGCGGGUGUCCUGGGGACACUGCGAAGGCCGCAGGCAGACUCCCCUCAACAAGCCUCUGCACACGCGUGCGUUAGACCACGUCCACGACAGAAAAGACGUGUGACCGGGGUGCCCUGGUGGAUCCCUGAGCCACUGCAGGGACAAGGCCAUGUCCUUAACCCGCUUCGCCACAAGAGAACUUCUGCCCACGCCAGCUUUUUGAGCUCAGCUCCUUGUUGCCGACCAACCGUGAGCUCGCAUAUUCAUCAGAGUGACUCCAUGGCGGUAGAGACCGCCGGCAACCGCCUGGUCAAGGAGCAUCCGCGGGCCUGCUGCAUCUGCCCGUCUCCGGCCUUUCAUUUCCACCGCGACCACGCGGCUCUGCGGGGCGAGGGCCACUGGGUCUGCCGCCCACUUGGAGGAAGAGGACCGCAAGGGCGCCCGCCGAGCUCCCUGGCAGAUGCAACACCAGCGCAGCGGCGGCGCGUGUUCGGGGAGGUUCAGGAGCUGCCGCCGAGGGGUUAAAACCCGGGACGACAAGGAAGCCUGUGCAGGCCCUGGGUUCUCCACGCGCAGACGCCCACCUCGCGCACUUGCUGGAGAGCCCGGUCCCGGGUGAGCCGGUGAACCGCCUCGAGAAGAUCGGCGACCGCCUGCCCACCCUCUGCAGGCUGCCCGGCCCCCAGCUGGGCCGGGUGAGUUUCUCCGGGAGGUUUCACCCUCAGGCACCGCGAGGAGCCUCCGGCGCCGGUGCCUCUGAGGAGCCCCUCCCGUGUCGGGGCUUCUGCCUGAUGCCUCUCUCUGCAGCCCCGGGGCAGCCUUUUCACCACCCUAGAGCCCUCUCCCAAGCCGUGAUGCAAAUGGGAACAGCAGAGCUUUUUGCAGGGACAGAAAGUGUCUGCGAAGGGUUGUAAAGUGCCUGGAACUUUCGGAGGCAGACUAGGAUGCCUGCAGGCAGGCGUGAGUGGGUUUCCCCGUUACUCCUCCAGCCUUAUUUCCGGGACGCUCUUACCAAGCAGGGUGUUUUGAAAUUCCUCCCUUGGGAUUGUCUUUGGUGCUAACUUCAAAUAUGCAUGAAAGAAUCAGUGUGACCUUUGGUUUAAUAAAACUAUUGUCCAGGAGUUCCCUAGUGGCUCGGCAGGUUAUGAACCCGCGUUGUCACUGCAGUGGCUCAGGUUUGAUCUCUGGCCUCAGAACCUGCAUGCUGAGGGUGUAGGGAAAAAAAUAUUGUCCAGAAAGACAUAAAAGUAAUCAUGUCCUCACUUUGAACCCUCCUUGGAGCCUUUUAUAUGAUCAAAUACAUAACUCUGUAGGGUUUUUUUUUUUUUUUUGGUUGCAAUUGUUUUAUUUUUAAAUAAUUCAAUGAAUUUUAUAUUUAUUGUUAUACAACCAUGAUAACAACCUAAUUUUAUUUUAUCUUAUUUAUUUAUUUUUGUCUUUUUGCCAUUUCUUGGGCCGCUCCCGCAGCAUAUGGAGGUUCCCAGGCUAGGGGUCCAUUCGGAGCCAUAGCCCCCAGCCUACGCCAGAGCCACAGCAACUCGCAAUCCGAGCUUCCUCUGCAACCUACACCACAGCUCACGGCAAUGCUGGAUCGUUAACCCACUGAGCAAGGCCAGGGAUCAAACCCGAAACCUCAUGGUUCCUAGUCGGAUGCGUUAACCACU
rnacentral:lncRNA from 1 species